CUGGAAAUCAAACGAACACAGGCAAUGGUAUGAUUAAUUAAUUUUAACACAUUGUAAUGAAUUAAAUUCCUUUAAAUAAUGUUAAAAAAACUCAUUAAUAAUUCAUGAAGAAAAGACAACGGAAAUCACUGCCGUGUCGGUAGUUUUACAUGUGAUAAAGAAUCAUGUUAAUUUACAUAAACUUUAGCUUUGAUUUUCUCAGGUUAGACAACGUUUAUUUUAAAAAUUACUUCGCACUCGUCAGAUGGGUCGUUUUUUCAGCCAUUGAAAACCAGCUGCGCUCUUGUGUUUUAUAUCUGAGAAACCACUCCUGUUCGUGUUUUAAAUAGUACGUAAACAGUGGCUAAAUAGAACAAACCAACCAGCGAUUAUUGUGGAUUACAAGGUCAUGACUUAUACCAUUAUACAACGUGUGUACAUUGAAAUUGUUCAGGUCGAUUUUAAAAGCUGAUCACUGCUAAUCAUAUUCAAGCGCUAUUUAACAAUUAAUCACAAGCCUCCUAUAUUCACUGAGCCGAAGGCGAAGUGAAUAUAGGCUUGUAGUCACCGAGCCUGAGGCGACUAAUUGUUUUAGUAUAAAUUUCCAGGUGUUUACAAAUAAUAAUCAACACAACUUUAUAAAAAUUCACUUCAAAUUUAUUAUUUUAAUUAAUAACACUAUAAAUAGUUUGUUUACAUAAUUUAAAUCUCGGACACGGCUCUGUGUCGCGUUGCGAUGAAGCCAGUUUUUUUCCAAAUAAAAGCACGUAAAGUUUAAUAUUUUACCUUGAAAUAUUUUUAAACCAUAUUUUGUAGCUUGUUUGUUUUUUUUCGGAAUGCUAUCUUCUUUAAUUUGGGCAAUUUCCCCUUCUGUUACUACGGCAAAACGAGCAGCCAUUUUGAAGAAAAAAACAACCAAAAAGCUAGCUAUAGUCACUGACCAGUGACUAUCACUUCAGAGACAGUGAAUCUUGACCAAUCAGAAUGCAGGAAAAUCAAUAGUCACCCAGAAACUUAUACUAAAGUCGUUAUAGUCACGGACUAUAGUUAUCCUGUUUCGAUUCCUGCCUGAGAGCCAAUAGUUGCAUUUUUCGCAACUACUCCUGGUCUAACAGUGUAUGGAACUUGAAGUUCCAUCUACAAAAACCCUCCUAGCCAAUCUCUCCUAGCCAAGACCUAUAGUUAUCAUAGUUAAGAACUAUUGUCAUCAAGAGAUUUACUUUUUCCAAAUAUAUUUCUGACAAAGAUUCAUUUUCGUUUGCUUUAUUUCAGGUCAAGCAACUCGUGAGAGUCCUGAGCCAACAAGAGAAAGUAUUUCUGAGCCUAGUGACCUCGCUGGGUUAACAAGAGAGAACAUUUCUCACCCAAGUGAUCUCGAAGCAAGAGCUGACAGUAAGAUGAAUGAAAGUACUGAAUCAAUAGAAUCUGGUGUGGUGGGUUUUCAUUUCUCGCCACCCGCCAUGUUGUUAAAACCCGUGCCGAGAACCUCACCACCGUGUUUAGACACAAACUCAGAAACUAUUCAAG
rnacentral:lncRNA from 1 species